GGGGGUUUUAUUAUUAUUUUGGGUUUUCUGUGGUUCCCACCCCCUUUAUUUUCAAAGUUCCAUCUGGCUCCUGACAAAGUCUUUGGUCUGUAGUAGUAGCAAGGCUUAGGCAUGACUAUUAAAUUAGAGUUCUCUGGCUGGAUAGAAGGAGCCUAAUUAGGCCUAUCAAAAGCUGGGUCUUUAGUUUUCCCUUAUACUAGUCUGUUUGCUGUAGAUACAAAGAAGCCACUUCCAUGAACAUUUACUCAGGGGUUUGCUCUCUGUAUAAUGCCAUUCUGUUAAAUCUGCUUUGCCCAGUAUCGUUGCAGUAGUGUGGUUGGAAUUAUCCCUCCCUUUACCCAUCAUUUGGCCAUAGACAUGGUGUCUGGUUUAAGAACUUGAUCUGAAUAUAUUCUUCUAGAGCUUUCCAUUCCUGCUCUAAAAUACAUGCAAAUAGCCUUGGAUACUUGGCCUCCUGUGAACUGAACAUGUCUGACCCAGAAUGUUUACAUUUAUAAGGAUUGUUUUA
rnacentral:lncRNA from 1 species